rnacentral:rRNA from 1 species
UGGGGAAUAUUGCACAAUGGGCGAAAGCCUGAUGCAGCAACGCCGCGUGAGUGAUGAAGGCCUUCGGAUUGUAAAGCUCUGUCUUUUGGGACGAUAAUGACGGUACCAAAGGAGGAAGCCACGGCUAACUACGUGCCAGCAGCCGCGGUAAUACGUAGGUGGCGAGCGUUGUCCGGAUUUACUGGGCGUAAAGGGUGCGUAGGCGGAUGUUUAAGUGAGAUGUGAAAUACCCGGGCUUAACUUGGGUGCUGCAUUUCAAACUGGAUAUCUAGAGUGCAGGAGAGGAGAAUGGAAUUCCUAGUGUAGCGGUGAAAUGCGUAGAGAUUAGGAAGAACACCAGUGGCGAAGGCGAUUCUCUGGACUGUAACUGACGCUGAGGCACGAAAGCGUGGGUAGCAAACAGGAUUAGAUACCCUGGUAGUCCACGCCGUAAACGAUGAGUACUAGGUGUAGGAGGUAUCGACCCCUUCUGUGCCGCAGUAAACACAUUAAGUACUCCG